AAUAUUUCUAUGUAUUAUGACUGUCAUUUCUGGGCAUACUGUCAUCUCUCCAGGCAUUCUAUGGACUUAAAGCUGCCAGACGUCUCAGGAAGAAACAAACUACACCAGGAAUCAAUCAAGAGGACUCCAAGGCAAAACUAAUCUCUCUGGGUCCCUACCAUCCACAUCUAGAGCAAAGAGGAAAAGGACCAGAUGAAACCAAGCUCAUGAACACGAUUGGUGAACAUCCAGAUCACCUGGGGACAGGCACGGGAGCAGAAGCUGACGACUUCAUUCUGCCAAAGUUAAGCAGCUGACUACUAUCUGUCAUAGAAACGCCCCACCAAGACCAGCUGCCCCAACCUCUAACCUUAAGGAUUAAGUUAUUCCCUAGGGACGCCAGCAUCGUGAGUCACAUCAGAGCCAAGUGCUGGAUCUGGUCUCUGUCAUUUUGAGUCUCUAAUAUGGCCAUUCCUACUAUGCCAUCUAUUUUACAUAGAUCUUAUCAUUUGAAUCUCAAGAGUGCUUUCAAGCUGCUCACACGGCUGGUUCUCCAUCUGCAAAGCCACCACACUCUGCCUUCACAGCCUAACCUGCGGAUUGCUGCUGCUCAAAGGAUGUGUUAUCUGCUAUCGUUUUCUCCCUUAAUAGUUCUCAAAAUAACUAUCAGAAUAAUCUUCACAUAAAUAAUCAUGUUUAUGAAGGUAAGAUGUAAGUCAAGGGCUUACAGUGCUGUGUGUGUGUGUGUGUGUGUGUGUGUGUGUUUCUACCUGAUGACUAAUUCAAAUCUAAACUCCCAACCAAAGAAUCAAAGGUCCUGGGAAGUGGUUUCCUAUCUUGCUCACUCCCAGUUCUAGAAUCCCAAUGUUCUAGAAGGAACUUUGUUUUU
rnacentral:lncRNA from 1 species